GCAAGAGCAACUUCAUUGGUCGAGCAACAUUUCGCCAACUAAGGUAUAACAAUUUAAUGACUUUGAAAGAUGAGUUGUCUUCUCUCUCCAUUUGAAGAAACCUCGAGUCGUUGGGUGAGCAACAUUUCAUCUAGCGAAACUACAUUUUCUGCCACUUAUAAAUAGACUUGUAAAUAGUUUUUAGUAUAACUCUUUACACACCUAGACUCGUUUUAGAGAAAGAAAGACAUGGAGAAAUUGGUCUUCAUUGUAAGAGGUCAUUUAGGGUGUGUUUGGUUGAAAGAAGAAAUUGAGAAGAGAGAAAUAGGUGAGAGAUGAAGUAAAAUAUUUUCACAAGAAAGGGGGGGUUUGAAUUGUGACCUGUUUAAAAUUUGUCUAAUAAAAAUUUUCUUUUAAAUUAACAAUCACAAUUAGUUUGUUAGUAAAUAAUGACAAUAAUAAUCGUGAGGUGUGUGAUUUUGAACAAUAAAUUAAAAGUAAGUAGGGAGAGAGAAAUGACACACAAAAGUUAUCGUGGUUCGCCAAACGCCGGCUACUUCCACUUCCCACACAAGUGUGAGAUUAUCCACUAGGUAGUUGUGUUAAGUAACGUUAACCACAACUCCUCUUUUCCUUUUUCACAAAUGAGUAACCUUUACUCUUGCUAGAUCCGACUGAUCUUUCCUGCAAUGAGUAAAUCCACCUUUGUUUUUACAACCAAAAAAGACGAGUAACAAUUACCCCUUGCUAGAUCUUCCUGAUCUUUUCUGCAACCGAGUAAUUUUACCCUUUUUUUUACACACUUGUUACCUACAAGCUUUUACAAUCCAAUAAGAAAUAAAAUCUUAUUUGGACCAAAAUACAAUAUUUGUAGUAAAGAAACUAAAAAGAGCUCAAAGAACAAAAGAGCAAUUUAGUUCACUUGAAAUAAAAAGAGAGAGCUUUGUGAAUUUUUGCUUGUGAGUAUAUUGCUUGCUUUCUCAAAAAAUUCGGUCUCUUUCCUUCAGCUGAUGGCUUGAUAUUUAUAGGCACAAAAUUUCUCAAACCAAUUGCUCCUUCUCUUCUCCCACGUGAGGAGCGUAUGAGUCAUGCAAUCUCACAUGUGUGGAGAUAACUUGUUCUUCAAGGCCAUGGUCCCACAUGUUGCAAAUGAACCAACCAAAACACAUAUUGCUUUUCUUGUAUAUCCACGUGUAUGCUCAAAUUUUAUCCAUUUAAUCCCUUUUGAAAUCAAAG
rnacentral:lncRNA from 1 species